rnacentral:rRNA from 1 species
CCCCAGGUCAGGCGGGGCUACCCGCUGAAUUUAAGCAUAUCAAUAAGCGGAGGAAAAGAAACUU